rnacentral:rRNA from 1 species
CGAAGCAAUGCCGCGUGGAUGAUGAAGUAUUUCGGUACGUAAAAUCCUUUCGACAGGGACGAAACCGCAAGGUUGACGGUACCUGUAGAAGAAGCCCCGGCUAACUCCGUGCCAGCAGCCGCGGUAAUACGGGGGGGCAAGCGUUGUUCGGAAUUACUGGGCGUAAAGGGUGCGUAGGCGGCUUUCUAAGUUGGAUGUGAAAACUCUGGGCUCAACCCAGAGCCUGCAUCCAAAACUGGAGAGCUUGGGUUCUGGAGGGGAAAGCGGAAUUCCUGGUGUAGCGGUGAAAUGCGUAGAUAUCAGGAGGAACACCGGUGGCGAAGGCGGCUUUCUGGACAGAUACCGACGCUGGGGCACGAAAGCUAGGGGAGCAAACAGGAUUAGAUACCCUGGUAGUCCUAGCCCUAAACGAUGGAUACUUGCU